GGACUACCGGGGUAUCUAAUCCGGUUUGCUCCCCACGCUCUCGCGCCUCAGCGUCAGGGCGCCCCCAGCCGGCCGCCUUCGCCACUGGUGUUCUUCCCGAUCUCUACGCAUUUCACCACUACACCGGGAGUUCCACCGGCCUCUAGGCCCCUCCAGUAGGCCAGUCUCCUCCGCCGCCGCCCAGUUGAGCCGGGCGAUUUCACAGAGGACUUAACCCACCGCCUGCGCGCGCUUUACGCCCAGUAAAUCCGGACAACGCUCGCCACCUACGUAUUACCGCGGCUGCUGGCAC
rnacentral:rRNA from 1 species